UACGUAGGGCGCGAGCGUUGUCCGGAAUUAUUGGGCGUAAAGAGCUCGUAGGCGGUGUGUCGCGUCGGCCGUGAAAACCUGCAGCUUAACUGUGGGCUUGCGGUCGAUACGGGCAUCACUGGAGUUCGGCAGGGGAGACUGGAAUUCCUGGUGUAGCGGUGAAAUGCGCAGAUAUCAGGAGGAACACCGGUGGCGAAGGCAGGUCUCUGGGCCACUACUGACGC
rnacentral:rRNA from 1 species